rnacentral:rRNA from 1 species
UACAGAGGUCUCAAGCGUUGUUCGGAUUCAUUGGGCGUAAAGCGUGCGCAGGCGGCGCCGCAAGUCGGGUGUGAAAUCCCCGAGCUUAACUUGGGAAUUGCGCUCGAAACUACGGUGCUGGAGUGUGGCAGAGGGAGGUGGAAUUCCACGUGUAGCGGUGAAAUGCGUAGAGAUGUGGAGGAACACCGAUGGCGAAGGCAGCCUCCUGGGCCAACACUGACGCUCAUGCACGAAAGCGUGGGGAGCAAACAGG